UAUUUGCAUUAUGAUAUUUAUUUUCCUUCAUCUAACCAAUAAAUGUAUUUGUAUUUUCAUUAACGAUCAUCACCUGUUUGUAAACGUCCGAGAGAGUUGUAAUUUAUAUAUAUAUAUAUAUAUAUAUAUAUUUUUUUUUUUUUAACAUGUCCGGCGUAGUUGCUUCAUACGCAUGAAACUUUAUAUACUUUUUCUUCUGGAAGACGUGAAAGCCAUUUUCUGAAAACCGACCAUCUAUCGAUUUCACUUCCAAUCAAACAAAAAGUAUUACUUUAUUAAUCAUUAAUUCUAUUUCAUAAUCUGGAUAAUUAGACAAUUUUUUCUGAUCAAAUUGACUUACUUGGUGAGAAAAAUUCUGUUGCAUAAUAAUGAAGCAUUUUCUAUCUUCCUCCAUAUUCUAAAAAAAAAAAAAAAAAA